UGAGUGGCGACGGGUGAGUAACGCGUGGGCAACCUGCCCUGUACAGGGGGACAACACUUAGAAAUAGGUGCUAAUACCGCAUAACGGGGGGAGCCGCAUGGCACCCCCCUGAAAACUCCGGUGGUACAGGAUGGGCCCGCGUCUGAUUAGCUGGUUGGCAGGGUAACGGCCUACCAAGGCGACGAUCAGUAGCCGGCCUGAGAGGGUGAACGGCCACAUUGGGACUGAGACACGGCCCAGACUCCUACGGAAGGCAGCAG
rnacentral:rRNA from 1 species